ensembl:lncRNA
GCUAGGUCAAUUUUCAGCAUCAUUAGGUUGAGUGAUAUAGUCAUGUCAUACACCGUUUGAAAGCUUAGAAUCUCAGGAAUGUCAACCAAUGUCAACCAUUCGGUGGAAUAAAUAUGUUUAGUGAAUAUAGAUCAAAUAUAUCCUAGUGUCUUAGGUCAAAAUAGCCCCCCUCACCCUCCUCCUCCCUUGGUCCAUUCUAACUUUAUCGUCGUUGUGGAUAUCCUUAGCAAUGAGUUGAUACUUCAUGUUGGGUCUUGAAAUGUUCCACAGAAAUCGAAUAUCAAUAUUAUUUUAGUCUAAUUACAUUGUGUAUAUUCACAAGCCAUCUUAUACAAAGCAGCCGAAAAAUAGAAAACCGAAACGCUGCAAUGUUUUUUUGUAGAAAACUGCUUUUAUGUUUAUGCUGGUUUUCUUUGACUUUUAGAGACACGUCAGUGUAAUUGUGGAUGGCGAGAGCCCUGAAAUACAGCUGGACAGCAGCGGUCUACAUCACUGCCCCUUCUGCAGAUACAAAGGGUCAAAAUGUGAUAUCGACCAUCACAUUAAAUGCCAUGCCUCGGUUAAAUACAGAGGUCUGCAGAGGAGCUUUCAGGAAGCAGGAAGAGAAGACGGGAGGGAAAAAAGCUACAGACAAAACUGAAGACCAGGAACUGGAACCUGGGAACCUGGAAGAAUAUGUUGUCCUGAAGGACACAAUUCAGGCAGCAGCAUGGUGCCAGUUACAGUCCUUCAAGGACAGCCUUUCUCUCCCAGAGGUCAUUGGGAUGGAAGGUUGGGAGCAGAUGGCAGCAUCAACACAGCGCAAAUCCCAUGACGGCGGGGAUGAGGAAGAAACGUGGAACCCAUUCCAAUUCUCAUUCAGAUUACAUACUGACUAUGAACUGUUCUGUGUGGAGAUGAUGGACAGGAGAAACCUGAAGGUGUUUGCCUCUUUUGAGUCAAACACCUCUACCCCUCCCCGUCCCCCCUCCCUGUGACGCCUGCGCCACACGACUCCAAUGUAGUCUGAUGAUGCAGCAUAAUGGCGGCGCUUGGCAGCUAUGGCUGCGGUGACGGCGAUGUCGGGC